CACGUAGGCGGAUUUGCCAGUCAGGGGUGAAAUCCCGGGGCUCAACCUCGGAACUGCCUUUGAUACAGCAAGUCUUGAGUUCGAGAGAGGUGGGUGGAAUUCCUAGUGUAGAGGUGAAAUUCGUAGAUAUUAGGAAGAACACCGGUGGCGAAGGCGGCCCACUGGCUCGACACUGACGCUGAGGUGCGAAAGCGUGGGGAGCAAACA
rnacentral:rRNA from 1 species